rnacentral:rRNA from 1 species
UUUGGAUGAAACCUGGGGACCGCAAUGCCUGGGGCAAGGAGAGGAUCCUGCGUCUGAUUAGCUAGUUGGUGAGGUAAUGGCCCACCAAGGCGACGAUCAGUAGCCGGCCUGAGAGGGUGAUCGGCCACACUGGAACUGAGACACGGUCCAGACUCCUACGGGAGGCAGCAGUGGGGAAUUUUGCGCAAUGGGCGAAAGCCUGACGCAGCAACGCCGCGUGGGUGAUGAAGGUCUUCGGAUCGUAAAACCCUGUCGUCGGGGACGAAGGUGGGCGGGUUUAUAGCCUGUUUGCUUGACGGUACCCGGAGAGGAAGCCCCGGCUAACUCUGUGCCAGCAGCCGCGGUAAUACAGAAGGGGCAAGCGUUAUUCGGAAUUAUUGGGCGUAAAAGGCGCGUAAGUGGCUUUUUAAGUGAGAUGUGUAAUCCCUGAGCUCAACUUGGGAACUGCAUCUCAUACUGGGAGGCUAGAGUACUGGAGAGGGUGGUAGAAUCCACGUGUAGCGGUGAAAUGCGUAGAGAUGUGGAGGAAUACCAGUGGCGAAGGCGGCCACCUGGACAGUAACUGACGCUGAGGCGCGAAGGUGUGGGUAGCAAACAGGAUUAGAUACCCUGGUAGUCCACACUGUAAACGAUGAACACUUGGUGUGGAGGGAGUUGACCCCUUCCGUGCCGUAGCUAACGCGUUAAGUGUUCCGCCUGGGGAGUACGGUCGCAAGGCUGAAACUCAACGGAAUUGACGGGGGCCCGCACAAGCGGUGGAGCAUGUGGUUUAAUUCGACGCAAGGCGAAGAACCCCACCUGGGCAAGAACUGUGGUGGACCGGUACAGAGAUGUGCCUUUUCGCAAG